GUUCGAUAAGUCGGGUGUGAAAACUCUGGGCUCAACUCAGAGACGCCACUCGAUACUGUCGUGACUGGGGUCUGGUAGGGGAGUGUGGAAUUCCCAGUGUAGCGGUGAAAUGCGCAGAUAUUGGGAGGAACACCAGUGGCGAAGGCGGCACUCUGGGCCAGUACUGACACUGAGGAGCGAAAGCGUGGGGAGCGAACAGGAUUAGAUACCCUGGUAGUCCACGCCGUAAACGUUGGGCACUAGGUGUGGGUCUCAACCAACGGGAUCCGUGCCGCAGCUAACGCAUUAAGUGCCCCGCCUGGGGAGUACGGCCGCAAGGCUAAAACUCAAAGG
rnacentral:rRNA from 1 species